rnacentral:tRNA from 1 species
GAUCCAUUAGCUCAGCAGGCAGAGCACUUGACUUUUAAUCAAGGUGUCCGGAGUUCGAAUCUCCGAUGGAUCACCA